rnacentral:rRNA from 1 species
AGCGAACGCUGGCGGCAGGCCUAACACAUGCAAGCCGAACGAAGCCUUCGGGCUUAGUGGCGGACGGGUGAGUAACACGUGGGAACGUACCUUUUGGUUCGGAAUAACGCAGAGAAAUUUGCGCUAAUACCGAAUGAGCCCUUCGGGGGAAAGAUUUAUCGCCGAAAGAUCGGCCCGCGUUGGAUUAGGUAGUUGGUGUGGUAAAGGCGCACCAAGCCUACGAUCCAUAGCUGGUCUGAGAGGAUGAUCAGCCACACUGGGACUGAGACACGGCCCAGACUCCUACGGGAGGCAGCAGUGGGGAAUCUUGCGCAAUGGGCGAAAGCCUGACGCAGCCAUGCCGCGUGAAUGAUGAAGGUCUUAGGAUUGUAAAAUUCCUUUACCAGGGACGAUAAUGACGGUACCUGGAGAAAAAGCCCCGGCUAACUUCGUGCCAGCCGCCGCCGUAAUAC